rnacentral:rRNA from 1 species
CAGUAGCCGCGGUAAUACGAAGGGUGCAAGCGUUACUCGGAAUUACUGGGCGUAAAGCGUGCGUAGGUGGUGGUUUAAGUCCGUUGUGAAAGCCCUGGGCUCAACCUGGGAAUUGCAGUGGAUACUGGGUCACUAGAGUGUGGUAGAGGAUAGUGGAAUUUCCGGUGUAGCAGUGAAAUGCGUAGAGAUCGGAAGGAACAUCUGUGGCGAAGGCGACUAUCUGGGCCAACACUGACGCUGAGGCACGAAAGCGUGGGGAGCAAACAGGAUUAGAUACCCCUGUAGUCCCUGUCUCUUAUAC